GGGCGCGUAGUGGAGUGGUUACCACGUUGGUCUUCGACGUUCAAUUCUCCGGAGUUGCUUACGUAACCAAAGGUCGCCGGUUCGACCCCGGUCGCGCUCA